GCCCGGGUGGCGAAACUGGCAAACGCAGGGGACUUAAAAUCCCCGGGGGGCGACCCCAUGUGGGUUCGAGUCCCACCCCGGGUA
rfam:Gemmatimonadetes bacterium GWC2_71_9 gwc2_scaffold_17691, whole genome shotgun sequence.